AUUGAACGCUGGCGGCAGGCCUAACACAUGCAAGUCGAGCGGAUGAAGGGAGCUUGCUCCUGGAUUCAGCGGCGGACGGGUGAGUAAUGCCUAGGAAUCUGCCUGGUAGUGGGGGAUAACGUCCGGAAACGGGCGCUAAUACCGCAUACGUCCUGAGGGAGAAAGUGGGGGAUCUUCGGACCUCACGCUAUCAGAUGAGCCUAGGUCGGAUUAGCUAGUUGGUGGGGUAAAGGCCUACCAAGGCGACGAUCCGUAACUGGUCUGAGAGGAUGAUCAGUCACACUGGAACUGAGACACGGUCCAGACUCCUACGGGAGGCAGCAGUGGGGAAUAUUGGACGAUGGGCGAAAGCCUGAUCCAGCCAUGCCGCGUGUGUGAAGAAGGUCUUCGGAUUGUAAAGCACUUUAAGUUGGGAGGAAGGGCAGUAAGUUAAUACCUGGCUGUGUUGACGGUACCAACAGAAUAAGCACCGGCUAACUUCGUG
rnacentral:rRNA from 1 species